rnacentral:tRNA from 1 species
GCUUUGGUGGUGAAAUGGUUAAGCACUCAGCUGUUAACCGAAAGGUUGGUGGUUCAAACCCACCCGGUGGCU